UCGGGAAUUUUGCGCAAUGGACGAAAGUCUGACGCAGCAACGCCGCGUGAGGGAUGACGGCCUUCGGGUUGUAAACCUCUUUUGUCAGGGAAGAUGAUGACGGUACCUGGCGAAUAAGCCACGGCUAACUACGUGCCAGCAGCCGCGGUAAUACGUAGGUGGCAAGCGUUGUCCGGAUUUACUGGGCGUAAAGAGCGCGCAGGCGGUCGUUCAAGUCGCGUGUGAAAGCCCCCGGCUCAACUGGGGAGGGUCACGCGAUACUGAUCGACUCGAAGGCAGGAGAGGGUAGUGGAAUUCCCGGUGUAGUGGUGAAAUGCGUAGAUAUCGGGAGGAACACCAGUGGCGAAGGCGACUACCUGGCCUGUUCUUGACGCUGAGGCGCGAAAGCUAGGGGAGCAAACGGG
rnacentral:rRNA from 1 species